rnacentral:rRNA from 1 species
GAUGAACGCUGGCGGCGUGCCUAAUACAUGCAAGUCGAGCGAACAGACGAGGAGCUUGCUCCUCUGACGUUAGCGGCGGACGGGUGAGUAACACGUGGAUAACCUACCUAUAAGACUGGGAUAACUUCGGGAAACCGGAGCUAAUACCGGAUAAUAUAUUGAACCGCAUGGUUCAAUAGUGAAAGACGGUUUUGCUGUCACUUAUAGAUGGAUCCGCGCCGCAUUAGCUAGUUGGUAAGGUAACGGCUUACCAAGGCAACGAUGCGUAGCCGACCUGAGAGGGGGAUCGGCCACACUGGAGCUGAGACACGGUCCAGACUCCUACGGGAGGCAGCAGUAGGGAAUCUUCCGCAAUGGGCGAAAGCCUGACGGAGCAACGCCGCGUGAGUGAUGAAGGUCUUCGGAUCGUAAAACUCUGUUAUUAGGGAAGAACAAAUGUGUAAGUAACUAUGCACGUCUUGACGGUACCUAAACAGAAAGCCACGGCUAACUACGUG